rnacentral:rRNA from 1 species
AUUGAACGCUGGCGGAAUGCUUUACACAUGCAAGUCGAACGGCAGCACGGGGCAACCUGGUGGCGAGUGGCGAACGGGUGAGUAAUACAUCGGAACGUGCCCAAUCGUGGGGAUAACGUAGCGAAGUUACGCUAAUACCGCAUACGAUCUACGGAUGAAAGCGGGGGAUCGCAAGACCUCGCGCGAAUGGAGCGGCCGAUGUCAGAUUAGGUAGUUGGUGGGGUAAAGGCUCACCAAGCCAACGAUCUGUAGCUGGUCUGAGAGGACGACCAGCCACACUGGAACUGAGACACGGUCCAGACUCCUACGGGAGGCAGCAGUGGGGAAUUUUGGACAAUGGGCGCAAGCCUGAUCCAGCCAUUCCGCGUGCAGGAUGAAGGCCUCGGUUGUAACUGCUUUGUACGGUAACGAAACGGCGAGCUCUAAUACAGUUUGUCUAAUGACGGUACC